rnacentral:misc_RNA from 1 species
CGAACGCGCCGACGUGCACCUGCACGGUGACCUCCACGGCCAGCUGGAGCGCGAGGUGGUCCUUGGACCCGCUGAACCCCUUCUCCACCGCCCUGGGCGUGCGUCCGUUGUGCUUCUGCCCCUGCAGCAGCACGCUGAAGUCGGUGGCGUCCUCGCCGCCGUCCGCGGGCUGCCCGACGUCGCCCUUGGCGAGGGUCGUCCCGUGGUGCGUGAGCCUCGCCCUGCCGCUCCUGUACCACAGCGCUGUCAUCUUGUUGGGGUUCACGGCCGUGAGGAACAAGUCGUAGUCCACGCGCUGCUGCCGCGUCGAGUUGAUCACGGC